UCAAAUUCCACCUAACAAAUCAGCCAAGUUCUCCUUCACUCACUUAAUCCACCAAAUUAUUUUCAUCGGCCCCAAGCUCAUUUCACCAGAAAUCAAGUAUUGAGCAAACAAGCAGAAAUCAAAAUACCAACUGAAAUCCUCGCCAAGGCUUUGAGCAUCAGGAGGAUUAGCACUGCUAUUCCGAUUCAGAGAUAACGUUAAACGACAGGCUUUGCCUAGACAGGUUAAUGGCUGGUGAUGACGGGGCAGAGCUGAGGCUAGGGUUCAACUCCGUAUUUUGUCUUCCGCUAUUGCACUAGCUUUUAUUUGUCUUUUGUUUCUCCAACUUAAGACUUUUAUGUUAAAUUCUGAAUUAUGUUUUUAUCGAGCUUAAACUCUCAACUUCUAGCUCUAUGUCAUUUAACGUUGGUUAUCGGAAGCAUGAAACCGAACUUGUGAUCCUAAGGCUUUGAAUGUUGUUGAUUGAUUAGUAUCACUUGAUUUCUA